GUGGAUAACCUACCGUAUACCGGGGGAUAACACUUAGAAAUAGGUGCUAAUACCGCAUAAGCGCACGGCUCCGCAUGGGGCAGUGUGAAAAACUCCGGUGGUAUACGAUGGAUCCGCGUCUGAUUAGCUAGUUGGCGGGGUAACGGCCCACCAAGGCAGCGAUCAGUAGCCGGCCUGAGAGGGUGGACGGCCACAUUGGGACUGAGACACGGCCCAAACUCCUACGGGAGGCAGCAGUGGGGAAUAUUGCACAAUGGGGGAAACCCUGAUGCAGCGACGCCGCGUGAGUGAAGAAGUAUCUCGGUACGUAAAGCUCUAUCAGCAGGGAAGAAAAUGACGGUACCUGACUAAGAAGCCCCGGCUAACUACGUGCCAGCAGCCGCGGUAAUACGUAGGGGGCAAGCGUUAUCCGGAUUUACUGGGUGUAAAGGGAGCGUAGACGGCAGCACAAGUCUGGAGUGAAAUCCCGGGGCUUAACCCCGGAACUGCUUUGGAAACUGUGCGGCUGGAGUGCAGGAGGGGUAAGCGGAAUUCCUAGUGUAGCGGUGAAAUGCGUAGAUAUUAGGAGGAACACCGGUGGCGAAGGCGGCUUACUGGACUGUAACUGACGUUGAGGCUCGAAAGCGUGGGGAGCAAACAGGAUUAGAUACCCUGGUAGUCCACGCCGUAAACGAUGAUUACUAGGUGUCGGGGGAUCAAGGUCCUCCGGUG
rnacentral:rRNA from 1 species